AAUGAACGUUGGCGGCAUGGAUUAGGCAUGCAAGUCGCACGAGAACCCAAUUAGCUUGCUAAGAGGGGGACAGUGGCGAAAGGGAGAGUAACGCGUGGUUACUUGCCCUCGAGACCGGGAUAGCGUCGGGAAACUGGCAGUAAUACCGGAUAACAUCUACGGAUCAAAUGGUGUGAUUCCGCUCGAGGAUAGGACCGCGUACUAUUAGCUUGUUGGUGAGGUAAUGGCUCACCAAGGCUGCGAUGGUUACCGGGUGUGAGAGCAUGGCCCGGCUCACUGGGACUGAGACACUGCCCAGACAUCUACGGAUGGCUGCAGUCGAGAAUCUUCGGCGAUGGACGAAAGUCUGACCGAGCGAUGCCGCGUGCGGGAUGAGGGCCCUCGGGUUGUAAACCGCUGUCAGUUGUUAGGAAAUGCUAGGGGGUUCUCCCCUUAGUUUGACCGAUCUUCAGAGGAAGGACGGGCUAAGUUCGUGCCAGCCGCCGCAGUAACAC
rnacentral:rRNA from 1 species